rnacentral:rRNA from 1 species
UACGUAGGUGGCAAGCGUUGUCCGGAAUUAUUGGGCGUAAAGCGCGCGCAGGCGGUCCUUUAAGUCUGAUGUGAAAGCCCUCGGCUCAACCGAGGUGGGUCAUUGGAAACUGGAGGACUUGAGUGCAGAAGAGGAAGUGGAAUUCCAAGUGUAGCGGUGAAAUGCGUAGAGAUUUGGAGGAACACCAGUGGCGAAGGCGACUUUCUGGUCUGUAACUGACGCUGAGGCGACGAAAGCGUGGGGAGCAAACAGGAU